GGAAAUUUUUAUUUAAUAGAAAUAAUUUUAAUAAUUUAAAAUUUAAGUAAAUUUUAUUGAAAAAAAAUAAUUUAUUAUAGUGAAUUAGUAUUGUAUGAGAUUUUUGAAAAAUAAUUUAAUUUAAAAUAAGUAAAAUUUAAUUUUUGUACCUUGUGUAUCAGGGUUUAUUAAAUAAAGGUUAAUUAUUUUAAUUUUCUCGAUUUUAAGAGAGUUAAUAAAUUAUUUUUUUUAUUAUGUAAUUAAUAUUUAUAAUAAUUUAUUAGUAAUGAAAUGUUAUUCGUUCUUAAAUUUAUCUAGUUUAUUUAGAAAUGAAUUUAAUUCAUAUAAUAAAAUUUUAAUAUAUUAAUUUUUUAAUAUAUUAAUUUAUUAUUAUUAAUAAUUAAAGGGAUAAGCUUUUAAUUAAAAAUUUAUAAAUUAUUAAUUAAAUAUAAAAUUUAUAGGUUUAGAAAUAUCCAUUAAUUUAAUUUGUUUUAAUUAAUUUAUGUGUAUUAAUAUUAUUUUUAAUAAUUUUAAUUUUUUUAUAAAUAAAUAAUUUUUAAUUUUAAAAAUUUAGUUAUUAUGAUAGAAUUAGUAUAUAUAUAAUGUUUAAAUAAUUAUAAAUUAAAGAUUAUUUAAAGUAAUUCGGCAAAAAUUUUAUUCGCCUGUUUAACAAAAACAUGUCCUUUAGAAUAUAUAUUUAAGGUCUAACCUGCCCACUGAAUUUUUAAUGGCUGCAGUAUUUUGACUGUACAAAGGUAGCAUAAUCAUUAGUUUUUUAAUUAAAAGCUUGUAUGAAAGGUUGGACGAAAUAAAUUCUGUCUCUAUUUGAUUAAAUCUAGAAUUUAAUUUUUAAGUUAAAAAGCUUAAAUUUUUUUAAAAGACGAGAAGACCCUAUAGAUUUUUAUAUUAUUAUAAUUAUUUUAAUUUAAGAAUUUUUUGUAUUAUAUUUAUUAUAAUAUUUUAUUGGGGUAAUAUAAAGAUUUAAAAAAUUCUUUUUUUUUAUUAACAUUAAUUUAUGAAUUUUUGAUCCAUUUUAUUGAUUAUUAGAUUAAAUUACCUUAGGGAUAACAGCGUAAUUUUUUUUGAGAGUUCAUAUCGAUAAAAAAGUUUGCGACCUCGAUGUUGGAUUAAAAAUUAAUUUAGGUGUAGAAGCUUAAAUGUUUGGUCUGUUCGACCAUUAAAUUUUUACAUGAUCUGAGUUCAGACCGGUGUAAGCCAGGUCGGUUUCUAUCUUUAAAUUAUUAUAAUAUUUUAGUACGAAAGGACCAAAUAUUUAAUAUAUUAAUAUUUUAUU
rnacentral:rRNA from 1 species